UGCUGUAAAAGGAAUCGACCCCUUUUGUGGCGUAGCUAACGCGAUAAAUAUGCCGCCUGGGAAGUACGGUCGCAAGAUUAAAACUCAAAGAAAUUGACGGGGGCCUGCACAAGCGGUGGAGUAUGUGGCUUAAUUCGAUGCAACGCGAAGAACCUUACCUGGCCUUGACAUGUAUGUAGUAGAAGGGUGAAAGCCUGACGAGGUAGCAAUACCAGCAUACACAGGUGCUGCAUGGCUGUCGUCAGCUCGUGUCGUGAGAUGUUGGGUUAAGUCCCGCAACGGGCGCAACCCCUAUGUCCUGUUGCCACCUCAACGAGAGUUGGGAGCACUCUGGACAGACUGCCUCGCUUAAACGAGGAGGAAGGUGGGGAUGACGUCAAGUCAGUAUGGCCCUUACGGCCAGGGCUGCACACGUACUACAAUGCCCGGCACAGAGGGAAGCGAAACCGCAAGGUGAAGCAAAUCCUGGAAAACCGGGCCCAGUUCAGAUUGUCGUCUGCAACUCGACGGCAUGAAGCUGGAAUCGCUAGUAAUGGCGCAUCAGCUACGGCGCCGUGAAUACGUUCCCAGGCCUUGUACACACCGCCCGUCACAUCAUGAAAGCCGGUUGUACCCGAAGUCCAUGUGUUAACCGC
rnacentral:rRNA from 1 species